GAUCGCCGUGUGCAAUGAAAGUUGCCUGCAUGGUGAAGGCUCGAAUCGAAAACCACUAUGUAGUGGCAUAAGACGAGAAUAGUAUUAUUCAAC
rnacentral:misc_RNA from 1 species